CCUACGGGAGGCAGCAGUAGGGAAUAUUGCUCAAUGGGGGAAACCCUGAAGCAGCAACGCCGCGUGGAGGAUGACGGUUUUCGGAUUGUAAACUCCUUUUGUUAGAGAAGAUAAUGACGGUAUCUAACGAAUAAGCACCGGCUAACUCCGUGCCAGCAGCCGGGGUAAUACGGAGGGUGCAAGCGUUACUCGGAAUCACUGGGCGUAAAGAGCGCGUAGGCGGGAUAGCAAGUCAGAUGUGAAAUCCUAUGGCUUAACCAUAGAACUGCAUUUGAAACUGUUAUUCUAGAGUAUGGGAGAGGUAGGUGGAAUUCUGGGUGUAGGGGUAAAAUGCGUAGAGAUCAAGAGGAAUACUCAUUGCGAAGGCGACCUGCUAGAACAUAACUGACGCUGAGGCGCGAAAGCGUGGGGAGCAAACAGGAUGAGAUACCCGAGUAGUC
rnacentral:rRNA from 1 species